UCCAUUUCUUCUAGAUUUUCUAGUUUAUUUGCGUAGAGGUGUUUGUAGUAUUCUCUGAUGGCAGUUUGUAUUUCUGUGGAUCGGUGCUGAUAUCCCCUUUGUCAUUUUUUAUUGUGUCUAUUUGAUUCUUCUUUUUUUCUUUAUUAGUCUUGCUAGCGGUCUAUCAAUUUUGUUGAUCCUUUCAAAAAUCCAGCUCCUGGAUUCACUGAUUUUUUGAAGGGGUUUUUUGUGUCUCUAUUUCCUUCAGUUCUGCUCUGAUUUUAGUUAUUUCUUGCCUUCUGCUAGCUUUUGAAUGUGUUUGUUUGCUCUUGCUUUUCUAGUUCUUUUAAUUGUGAUGUUAGGGUGUCAAUUUUGGAUCUUUCCUGCUUUCUCUUGUGGGCAUUUAGUGUUAUAAAUUUCCCUCUACACACUGCUUUGAAUGUGUCCCAGAGAUUCUGGUAUGCUGUGUCUUUGUUCUCAUUGGUUUCAAAGAACAUCUUUAUUUCUACCUUCAUUUUGUUAUGUACCCAACCACCCCAAAUCAACAGAAUAUACAUUUUUUCAGCACCACACCUAUUCCAAAAUUGACCACAUAGUUGGAAGUAAAGCUCUCCUCAGCAAAUGUAAAAGAUCAGAAAUUAUAACAAACUGUCUCUCAGCCCACAGUGCAAUCAAACUAGAACUCAGGAUUAAGAAACUCACUCAAAACUGCUCAGCUACAUGGAAACUGAACAACCUGCUCCUAAUAAUAUGUAAUUUUAAUUUGGAUUAAGAUGCCAUAGAGAUCAAUGUUAAUUAGGAUAAUAUAAAAAAGCCAUAACAUAUGCUGUCUUUAAAAUUCAAGUAAAAUAGCAUUUAAAUAACAUCUUUUUAUUAUGGUUAUGAUAUGUAUUCAUACACAUUAUGUAAUUUUAUUUUUGAGCAGUUAUUUUUAUCAUUAGAGAUUUUCCACUGAAAGAUACAGAAGACUAAUAGAAUUCAAUAACAUAUAUUCAUAUAUUUCAUUAAAAACUACUAACAUAUAUACUUCCACCAAAAGUAUAAGAACUCGUUUAUUAGGCUUCUUUGUAUGUUGCUGACAUUCAUGUGAAGCAUAACACUAUUACAGUUCAUAUUGUCUUACCUGAAUUAAUAUACCAUCAACACAUCACUGUUUAUUUUUAAUAGCUCCCACAUAUCAGGUACCUUAUGUGCAUUAUUACUCAUCCUUAUAACCAUCAUUUAUUAUCUCCAUUUUACAAAGAAUUUCUUCUUUCUUUUCAGUUAAAUGACUGUUGACUGUUUGAAGCCAGACAAAUAUUAACUUUUGGAGGAAGAAAAACAUGUAGUGUGUCUAGUCCCAAAGUCCAGUUUCUUUAGUUUUCAAAAAAAAUUAUUUUAAUUGAGAAAAAUACAUAUUUAUCGUGUACAUGUUUUUAAAUAUUUAUACAUUGUGGAAUAUUUAUACAUUGUGGGAUGGCUAAGUGGAGCUAAUUUAUAUAUACAUAAAUAUAUAAAAAAAUAUAUAAAACCUCCCAAAAUUAUCUUUUUUUUGUGGUGAGAACAUCUAAAAUAUUUUUUAGCAUUUUUCAAGAAUAUAAUACACUGUUAUUAACUAUAGUUGCCAUGCUGUACAAUAGAUCUCUUGAACUCAUUUCUCCUAACUGAAAUUCUGUAUCCUUUGACCAACAUUUCCCCAGUCCCCCAUCACCCCAUACCCUGGUAAUCACCAUUCUAUUCUCUACUUCUGUGAAUUCAACUGUUCAAGAUUUCACAUAUAAGUGAGAUCAUGCGGUAUUGGUCUUUCCGUGCCUGGCUUAUUUCACAUAACACAAUGUUCAUCUAUAUUGCAAAUGACAGGAUUUCUGCCUUUUUAAAGGCAAUUAGUAUUGUGAAUAUAUACUGCAUUUUCUUUAUCCAUUCAUCUACUGGCCUUUAGGUUGAUUCCAUGUCUUGGCGUUUUGAAUAAUGGUGUAUUGAAAAUGAGAAUGCAGAUAUCUCACUGAUGUCAUUUCCUUUGGAUAUAUACCCAGGCGUGGGAUUGCUAGAUCAUAUGGUAGUUCUAUUUUUAACUUUUUGAGGAACUUCCACACUGUUCUCUAUAACGACUGCACUAAUUUACAUUCCUACCAACAGUGUGCAAGGGUUCCCUUUGAAGUCUACGUUCUUUCCUAUCAAACCUAUUAUUGAUUUCUAUUACCGUUAUAGCAAUAUUACAAAGGAGAGCAUUGCACUGCUUUUGUAAAUGCCCAUACAGCAAAUCAUACUGUUUAUAGAAAUUGUUCUCAUAUCUGGCUGGGCACAGUGGCUCACGCCUGUAAUCCCAGCACUUUGGGAGGUCAAGGCGGGCGGAUCAUGAGGUCAGGAGAGAGAGACCAUCCUGGCUAACACAGUGAAACCCUGUCUCUACUAAAAAUACAAAAAGAUUAGCUGGGUGUGGUGGCGGGCGCCUGUGGUCCCAGCUACUUGGGAGGCUGAGGCAGGAGAAUGGUGUGAACCUGGGAGGUGGAGCUUGCAGUGAGCCAAGACUGCAUCAGUGCACUCCAGCCUGGACAACAGAGCAAGACUCUGCCUCAAAACAAACAAAAAAUAAAAAAAAAAACUGUUCUCACAUCUAAAAUACUCUGCUAGGACAAAUUUAACUAACCAUGGGUAAGAACUACAAAGGUGUGCUUUCUAUUAAAUAACUCUCAUUUGUAAACUGAUUCACAAAUGCCUUCAAAAGAUUUAAGAAAAGUGUUACAUACUGGCCACACGUUUGUAGGAGAGAUGCUCAAAUACAUGUGGUUAUUCAACAAAUAUUAGCUGAUGAAGGUCAAACCCCAAAUUCAAAUGUCACCAUUUUUAAUGGCUAAAUGAAAUGAUGCUAGAUCUUAGUAAGAAAAAUUAAGAGAAAAUUUGUCUGAGAUCAUUAGGCACUCAUUUAACUUACUGAGGUGAAUCAUCAGAAAUAGUUUAUCUUUAAAUAAAGAGAUUUGGUGACAGGACCUGCAACUCUUCGUGUGAUCUGAUCCCUUAAUUUCUCUACCAUUACAUACCUUUUUCAAUGUCACCCACAUUCACCUCAUUUUGGUCCCUAGGAAGCAUUUUAUAGCUCAAGGAUGCUACUCUUUACACAUGGUAUUGUCUCUGCCAGAAAGGAUUCUGCCCACAAGCAAUUACUGCUUGCCCCUUCCCGCCCCCCCAAUCCUGCCAAUUUUGCUUCUUCCUCCCUCCUUUUCAGAAGUAUCUGAAUUAAAUUGUGGUUUCAAGGCUUUCCUGUCCAAUCCUAUUUCUUCCCCUUUCAUCUUUUAUAGGUGUUAAUUCCCAACACACUUCUCGCGCUUCUCACUCCAUAUGCUUGGGUCAUCCUAUCCAGCCAGGGUCAUAUAUACUCUUGGUGUUAGGAGAAAGUACAUAGUGUGGAAUUUAUGGCAAUGCCAAUGUGAAAAUCACUGGAGGUUCCUGGAGUUUUAGAGCCUCUAGUAACCUGCACUGGAGAGUGACAAGUGUUUGAAAAGUAGCUCCUGGUACUAGACCUGGUAGAGAAGAAACACUUGACACCAGUGGCCAGGCAUCCAGAACUGCUUAUUUUGGGUUGGGUUCCAUGGAAGCCACUAACUCAAAAAAUCAGGUGGGUCAGCAGCUGUCUCCUUGUGAUGGGAAGGGCACAUAUGAUAUUGACCUGAGCAAGACCAGUUAACAAGAGGUAACUGCAAGAGCAGGUAGCCUAGGCUCUCAUGUUACCCACCAGAGUGGAACUGCUGUCCUUCCUCAGUUCGUACCUAUGGCCACAGGGAAGAGUGGUUUCCUUAUGCCCACGUGAAGGAGAAAAAAACCCUGAGCUUUGUUUUUGGAAGAGUUGGCUCCUAUGUGGUUGCAAGGUUGAAAGGGACAGCAGCUGUAUUGUAUGUGCAUUAUAGCCACAUUCAGAGUUGGCUUUGAAAGACAGUGGUUAGGGACUAUUUUCCCAAUGGGUAGAGCUGAGUGAUGAUGCAUGUUACACACUUUGCUCAGAAAGAAAAGUGGCCCAUAGCUGGGUGCAGUGGCUCGUGUCUGUAAUCCCAGCACUUUGGGAGGCCGAUGUGGUGGAUCACUUGAGGUCAGGAGUUUGAGACCAGCCUAGCCAACAUGGCAAAAGCCCAUCUCUACUAAAAAUACAAAAAUUAGCUGGGCAUGGUGGUGCAUGCCUGUAAUCCCAGUUACUCGGAAGGCUAAGGCAGAAGAAUCGCUUGAAUCCAGGAGGCAGAGGUUGCAAUGAGCAGAGAUCCUGCCACUGCACUCCAGCCUGGGCAAUAGAGCAAGACUCUGUCUCAAAAAAAAAAAAAAAAAGAGGCCCACAGUGAGAAUAUACAUAGACUGAUGAUCAAUAGCAAAUAGACUACUGUACUUGUCAGGGCCAUGGGAUAAAACAUUUCAAAGCUUCAGGGACAAGGAAGGGAUACGGGAUUAGGCAUACUAUGUGGAGAUCUUUCUGUCACUUGGUAAUGCUUACCAGAAGCAUCACUUUAGAAUGCUACGUAGCCAAAAGGACCCUUCGAGUUGAUGUUAGCAAUCCUUUGGCAUCAACCAUCCCAUACCUGGCAUUAUGGGCACAUAAACAGAGUACCCAUGGUCAGAGAAAGUGGCCAUGGAAAGGCCCAAGAGUAUGGCCUCCUUAUUGCCAAAGCUGAUCUACCCACUGCUUCCUCUGAAUGUUGAACUGCCAGCAACAGAGACCAACUCUGAGCUCCUGAUAAGGGAUUAUCCUCAAGGGGACCAACCACUUACCUGUAGUAAAUGAAUGAAAACUGAGCUUCUACCUUCCUGGAGGGCAAAAUAUUUCACUCUCACAAAAACACACACCCAUAAUGGUUAUUCUCACUAAAAUACAAUUAAUUACCUAGGGCAUCGAGGAUUUAUGAAUUUGCUUUUAUGACUCUCUGAGCUUGAGCCACCAGCUAUACCCAAGGAUUUACAGACUGCAUUCACUCAGUCUCUGAUCAAGGAAACCACUUCUCAACAAAGCAGGAGUGGAAAUGGGUGCCUACCCAUGGGCUGCAUCAUGUACUGCACCACCUAGAAGCUGCUGGCCUGGCCUGAUAGCACAAAGGAAUGGCUGGCUGAAGGCACAGCUUGGAGGCACUAGUCUGUGAGGAUGGGGGUCAUCCUUUAGGAUGCAGUAGAUACACUGAAGAAGAGCUUCCUACAUGUUAUUGUGUCCCCAUUGGAAGAAUGGAAACUUAGGGGUAAAAGCAAGAGUUUCUCCACUUGUCAUCGCUUCUAAUAACCUGAUGAAAUCCUUUAUGAUUUAUGUUCCCACAGCUCUAGGUUUUUCAUGGUCAGGGGUCCUUGUCCCCAAAGGGACAAGGACAGAGGAUACAGCAAUGGUCCCAUUGAGCUACAAGCUAUGGCUACUCUCUGGCCACUUUGGACUCUUUUGUCCAGGGACAAAAAGGCAGGAAGAGGAGUUACCAUCUUGACAAAGGUAGUUGCCACUAAACUUCAAGAGAAGGCAGAGCUGCUGGAAGUCAGGAUGGCAGUAAGGAGCAUGUAUUGCCCUCGUGUAUGUGCCAUAAGAGGGCGAAAGGAAUUAUAUGUAGACCUCAGGUGAUCUACUUGAGGUCUUCUUGGAAGUCUCUCUGCCAAUUGUGACUAAAAACAAACAAGUGUAGCAAUACUGGCCUGAAGCAGAUGUGGUUGCCAGGGGCCCUGACUCUCUCAGGAAUGAGAUUUGGAUUCACCAACAGGAAACCACUGAGACCACCAGACAGGAAAGCUGAGAAGAGGAAUGUAAAAUGGUCAGUGGAAGAAGAUGAGUACCAGUUGGCCUUGAGACCAACUCCAGUGAACGGAGAUGUCAUGUAUCCCUCUAACCUCUCUCCUUUAAGUCUUUCUUCAGGAAGAAAGGCACAUGGGAACCCCAGAGGAGUGACUCCCAGAUGUAUAUGGAGAAAUGGAUCUGCAGUAUGAGAGGAGAGUGGAGCAUCUAAUUGUGCACUGCACACAUUUUCCAUCAAGAAGGAACUUGAUGUUUAGCUGUGAGGGGUGCAGGUAGCUGACAGCCUCCAGCUUCAGUGGAUUUGCGAUCUGCUACAAUGCAUGAGCCAAGGCCACAUUCUUCCUGGAUAUCCCCCAACCCCACUAAUGACAGCACAGUGGAGGUACUAGUGCUUGGCCACUUGUGCCCAACACAAAACUCUCAAAGGACAGGCUGUGUUCUGAAGUUUUGUAUGGAUUUGGUCAAGACUUUGUAGAGCGUAUCAUUCUGGGUUUUCUUCCUGAUCUUACUUCCUCUUUUAUUUUCUUUUACAAGUGUUAUCUCCCCUUUCCCUUAAACAAUAACAACAACAACAAAAUGCACAAAAAGCCCAAACCAAAACUCUUGUACUUCUCAAUCCAUCUUAGAAUCUACUUCCCAGUGAAGCUGAGAUGACACAUAUGUUGUUUUGGCAUGCUAGGCUUUUCCUUUUUGGCUACUAACAUAACAUUAAUUAAUGCAUUAAUUUUGUAACAAUUUACUUACAUUGUCUACUACAACAAACUCUUUGACAGCAACUGCUAGAUCUGUCUUUUUUCACAAUUGUAUUCCCAGGGCCUAGUAUAGGGCCAACUACUCAGUAACUAUUCCCAACCCCUGGUGGACUGUACCUAUAUUUGUAUUUGGCCAUCCUGAGUGUACUAUUCCAAUUUGUGCCAGGUGUGGGAUGUGUGUUAAGAAGGUCUUCCACAAGCCUCACUCAUUGCAUUUGACAGCCCAGAUCAUUUCUGCUAAGUCAGUGGUUCUCAAAUGUUAGCCUGCAUCAGAACCACCUGGAGAGCUUGUUUAAACACAAGACAGCUGAGUCCUACUCCCAGAGUUUCUGACUUAGCAGGUCAGGGUGGAACCUGAUAAUGUCCAUUUCUGACACGUUUCCAGAUGCUGCUGCUCUUCUGGCCAGGACCACCAUUUGUAAAUCUCUGCCCUAGGCCCCUGGCCUCCACUUAUUAGCAGAUGAACCCAGCCUCUUUCUUAAUUGCCUUCACUUUCUUAAUUGCCUUCAUGUGCUCUUGCUGUUUCACCCAUCUUAUCAAUGCUCACACACCCCAGAGCACUGCCCACUAUGUGUUUGCCUUUUCCCUGGGCAACCUCAGCCUCAGGCAUAGCUUCCACCCCACCCCCCGCCCGCAAGUGACUAUAUCUCACAUUCUUGUCUUAAGCCCAUGUUUGCUCUUCGUUUCAGGGUCAAACUUCCAUCUACUAGUUAAAAAAAAAAAGGGGGGGAAAGGAUUCCCUAUUGAAUAAAUGGUUCUGGGAAAACUGGCUAGCCAUAAGUAGAAAGCUGAAACUGGAUCCCUUCCUUACACCUUAUACAAAAAUUAAUUCAAGAUGGAUUGAAGACUUAAAUGUUAGACCUAAAACCAUAAAAACCCUAGAAGAAAACCUAGGCAAUACCAUUCAGGACAUAGGCAUGGGCAAGGACUUCAUGUCUAAAACACCAAAAGCAAUGGCAACACAAGCCAAAAUUGACAAAUGGGAUCUAAUUAAACUAAAAAGCUUCUGCACAGCAAAAGAAACUACCAUCAGAGUGAACAGGCAACCUACAGAAUGGGAGAAAAUUUUUUACAGAAUGGGAGAAAAUUUUUGCAAUCUACUCAUCUGACAAAGGGCUAACAUCCAGAAUCUACAAUGAACUCAAACAAAUUCACAAGAAAAAAACAACCCCAUCAAAAAGUGGGUGAAGGAUAUGAACAGACACUUCUCAAAAGAAGACAUUUAUGCAGCCAACAGACACAUGAAAAAAUGCUCACCAUCACUGACCAUCAGAGAAAUGCAAAUCAAAACCACAAUGAGAUACCAUCUCACACCAGUUAGAAUGGCAAUCAUUAAAAAGUCAGGAAACAACAGGUGCUGGAGAGGAUGUGGAGAAAUAGGAACACUUUUACACUGUUGGUGGGAAUGUAAACUAGUUCAACCAUUGUGGAAGUCAGUGUGGCGAUUCCUCAGGGAUCUAGAACUAGGAAUACCAUUUGACCCAGCCAUCCCAUUACUGGGUAUAUACCCAAAGGAUUAUAAAACAUGCUGCUAUAAAGACACAUGCACACGUAUGUUUAUUGCGGCACUAUUCACAAUAGCAAAGACUUGGAACCAACCGAAAUGUCCAACAAUGAGGCUGGAUUAAGAAAAUGUGGCACAUAUACACCAUGGAAUACUAUGCAGCCAUAAAAAAUGAGUUCAUGUCCUUUGCAUGGACAUGGAUGAAGCUGGAAACCAUCAUUCUCAGCAAACUAUCACAAGGACAAAAAACCAAACAAACACUGCAUGUUCUCACUCAUAGAUGGGAAUUGAACAAUGAGAACACAUGGACACAGGAAGGGGAACAUCACACACCGGGGCCUGUUGUGGGGUGGGGGGAGUGGGGAGGGAUAGCAUUAGGAGAUAUACCUGAUGUUAAAUGAUGAGUUAAUGGGUGCAGCACACCAACCUGGCACAUGUAUACAUAUGUAACUAACCUGCACGUUGUGCACAUGUACCCUAAAACCUAAAGUAUAAAAAAAGUUGGAGUGAGAAAAUACUAUCUGCAAGUUUAUGUAGUAAAACUCUACAAAGUUAAUCUUAAAAAAAAAAGCUGCAUCGUCUAUAGGGGGAUCCUCGUUUACAUUAACAGCAGCAAGAAAAAUGGAUGACAACCACUUUGAACCUCAGUUUUCUCAUUUGUAAAAAUGAGAACAAGAAUACUUAUCACCCAUAAAGAAUUGUCAUUAAGGUCAAAUAAGCAAAUGAAUAUGGGGCCAGAAAAUAUAGCUGACAAAAUGUAAGAUACUAAGCAGUGGAUGGAGCUGGAGGCCGUUAUUCUAAAUGAAGUAACUCACUUAUUAUUUGAAAACCAAAUAUUGUAUGUUCUCAGUUGUAAGUGGGAACCAAGCCAUGGGCAUGCAAAGGCAUACAGAGUGGUAUAAUGGACAUUGGAGACUCAGGAGUGGGUGGGGAGAGGAGAAGGAGGGAUAAAAAAACUACAUGUUGGGUACAAUGUAUACUACUCGGGGGGCUGUUACACUAACAUCUCAGAUUUCACCACUAUGCAAUUCAUUCAUGUAAUAAAAAACCACAUGUACCCUAAAAGCUAUUGAAAUAAAAAAAAUCUUAAAAAAACCAAUAUAUUAAGUGAUGUCCAUAAUAGGCAAAUGAUCAAAUGUGUGCCAGUUAUACUUUGGGGGAAUAAAGGGAAACAUGUUUAAUUGCAUAGGAUUUUUAAAUAGCUCUAUUUUUCUAAAAUGUAUCUUUCCUUAGUACCCUUCCCCUACAAAGGGGACUAUAUAAAUUUAGAAUCUUCUGUUUAAAGUUCCACAAAAAUGGUAUUUUUUCCUCUCCAGAAAAAAAAUACAGAAAAGCUGUUUCAAAACCAAAAUCUCCUUAUUUUCCCAGAAUAGAAUGAGGCAAGUAUUUAGUACUUUAUAUCUGUUAUUAGAUAGUAUAUUUUUAUUUCACUAUUUAUAUAAAAGCUAGAAAGCUCAGGAAAAACUGCUGAAGCUAUCUAUCAUGAAUGUAAUUUUCUUAGUCAAUAAAACCCAGAAGAAAUAGUAAACUCAAUAUCCUACAACAAAUACAUCUAGAAAAUAAGUUCUUUAUCAAAAUGCAUUCUUGCUUCCUUCAAGUAUGGUCUAAAGUGGUAAACUAUUAUCACAGGAGAAAACAACUAUUUUUGAGCCAUUAAUGUCUGACAGUUCCAGAAUGCAACAAUUAAAAAUUGUUACCAACUUGUGACAAUUCCAUUAUAUACAUGGCUAAAAAGUUUUCCUGGGAGAGUGUACAAAAUAUGUUACCAAACCUAUCAAAAGCAAGCCAUGCAAUAAAAAAUGACUGAAUAAUAAUAAUAAAAAAAAGACCCACACACAAAAGAAGAAAAAAAGAGAAGCCCUUUCGAAAUAGGGAAAACAUUUCAUAAAUUCCUUGAAGACAAGAUUUGGCUCUUAGAAAGCAUGCCUACCAUACAAUCAACGCUGUGCAUUGCUAUUACCAUCUUUUGCCUCAGUAACAGCUACUGAGCUAAAAGACUACUCCAGCUAAAAGACCACAGGUAACCUUUGCAGCUGACCUAUGAAACAAAGAUUUCCAAUUUCAGCUGUCACUUUCAUAGAGUAGCACAAUUAAAACAACAGAAACGCUUAACAUUUAAUUUUCUGAACAUCAGAUAUAAUGCUACAAAUGGGUGGGAAAUGCAAACUUGGGAAAACAAAUAAAUUAAUAAGGACAUGAAUGACUGUACUCAAUACCAAAUAUAUUAUUCUCAUUUUACAGAGGAAGAAACUAAAAUCGAGAGAGGUUAAUAAUUGUGCCCGAGGCUACACAGCUACUAAGCAAACCAGAUCUAUGCUCAAAGCCCAUGCAGGACUGUAACCACGGUACUCCACUUCCUUCUUAGCUUUAUACUAAGCUAUGCCAUUUGCCCCAGGGCUGGCUUAAAGGCCAGCCACAUUCCCUACACUUCACCACUAAUAACAUUUAGGAUUACAGUUCCUCUUAUGCCCUAUAAAUAAAACAAGAACAGAUAUUUAACAUCUGCACUAAAGCUGUGGAAUAACAUGCUGUUAUACUUGAAAGGAAUAUAUAUAAAGCCUGACUGAAGGUCUGAUGUAAGCUUCUAAACACCAAAGUAUGAUCAUAACCUAAUGGGGGUUCUUCCUGAACUUCCCUGAAGCACUGUGAUCCUCUGAGUCAUUCUAAAACAGUCUUAGAGAAUAAAUGGCUGCAAGCAUGAAAGACAAGCUCUAUAUACUAAACAAAAAGUUGAUCUAAUUUAAUGGUGUCAUAAUUUUAAAAAUUGUGUUGAUUGCAAAUUUUUUUUUUUUUUUUUUUGAGAGACAAGGUCUUGCUCUGUCUCCUUGGCUGGAGUGCACUGGUGUGAUCAUGGCUCACUGCAGCCUCGACUUCCUGGGCUCAAGUGAUCCUCCUGCCUCAACUUCCUGAGUAGCUGGGACUACAGGAGUGCAACACCAUGUCCAGAUAUUUUUUGUAGUUUUUGUAGAGACAGGGUUACACCAUGUUUCCCAGGCUGGCCUUGAGCUCCUGGUCUCAAGUGAUCCUCCUGCCUCAGCUUCCCAAAGUCCUGGGACUAUAGGCAUGAGCCACUGCACUUGGUCACAAAUUCUUUUUUUUUUUUUUUUUGAGAUGGAGUCUUGCUCUGUCACCCAGGCUGGAGUACAGUGGCACAAUCUAGGCUCACUGCCUCCCGGGUUCAAGUAAUUCUUCUGCCUCUGCCUCCCAACCAGCUGGGACUACAGGCACACCCCAUCAUGCCCGGGGUAAUUUUUGUAUUUUUAGUAGAGACGGGGUGUCACCAUGUUGGCCAGGCUGGUCUUGAACUCCUGACCUCAUGAUUCAUCUGCCUCGGCCUCCCAAAGUGCUGGGAUUACAGGCAUGAGCUACCACGCCCGGCCACAAAUUCAUUUUUAAAAACUCACCAAUUCUUUUUAAUUUGGGACAGACGUUUAUUAUCAAUAUGAAACAUGCCCUUUUCUAAGUAUUUGUUUUCUGAAAAAAAAAUACAUAUUUAAAUAUCUGGGGCAGAAAUUAAUGGAAAAUUUCAAGAUGCGACAAUGUUUAGUUCCCAAAGGCAUUUGUUCAAUUGUUUGAUAAUUGUAAUGCAAUUCAUUUGCCGUAUGAAAUGAAACAGUUUUUGAGUAAGAGUUAUCUAAGUUGUAGGAGUAACAAUUAUUUCUCAGCUCUAUCAACACAGAGAUUUCGCAAACUGGGGCCCUGUUGUCCAUCAAGGCAGCCACACACCACCGCAGCACCACAGCAGUCUCUGUGGUUGGACCGCUUCUCUCCCAUUAGGGGCAACAGAACUGGGACUCUGGCAUUUCAGAACAGAAUAGGAUACAGGUUUCUCCCAUCUUCCUGCAAUAGACUUAAAAUAAAAAGUCC
rnacentral:lncRNA from 1 species